CCUACGGGUGGCAGCAGUGAGGAAUAUUGGUCAAUGGACGAGAGUCUGAACCAGCCAAGUAGCGUGAAGGAUGACUGCCCUAUGGGUUGUAAACUUCUUUUAUAUGGGAAUAAAAUGUUCCACGUGUGGGAUUUUGUAUGUACCAUAUGAAUAAGGAUCGGCUAACUCCGUGCCAGCAGCCGCGGUAAUACGGAGGAUCCGAGCGUUAUCCGGAUUUAUUGGGUUUAAAGGGAGCGUAGGUGGUUUGUUAAGUCAGUUGUGAAAGUUUGGGGCUCAACCGUAAAAUUGCAGUUGAAACUGGCAGUCUUGAGUAGGGUAGAGGUGGGCGGAAUUCGUGGUGUAGCGGUGAAAUGCUUAGAUAUCACGAAGAACUCCGAUUGCGAAGGCAGUUCACUGGACUGCAACUGACACUGAGGCUCGAAAGUGUGGGUAUCAAACAGGAUUAGAUACCCCAGUAGUC
rnacentral:rRNA from 1 species